UACGUAGGGGGCAAGCGUUGUCCGGAUUCAUUGGGCGUAAAGAGCGUGUAGGCGGCCAGGUAGGUCGGUUGUGAAAACUGGAGGCUCAACCUUCAGAGGUCGACCGAAACCAUCUGGCUAGAGUCCGGGAGAGGAGAGUGGAAUUCCUGGUGUAGCGGUGAAAUGCGUAGAUAUUGGGAGGAACACCGGUGGCGAAGGCGGCCCCCUGGACCGGUACUGACGCUGAGGCGCGAAAGCGUGGGUAGCAAACGGG
rnacentral:rRNA from 1 species